rnacentral:lncRNA from 1 species
ACUUGUUAUAAUUACAACUUUGAUCAAUUUACAGAAUAUUUUGUCCUAAAAAAAAAACUCAACUACAACCAGUCCUUAAUAAUAAUUAGAUCCAGUACCAUUAUUUCAAUAUAUUUGUAGAUCUACAAAUCAAUUUGUUGACAAAUAAGGUUCAGUCUCUUUUGAAAAAAAAUAUUUUUGGGAAUGUGAAACUAAAUCUUUUGACAAGAGCUUGAAACACAAAAGAAUUGUCCAUAGAAUGAACAAUCUUAAAACAUAUUUAAAUGUGCCUUGCAGGGUUUUGUAAUCAUUUUAAAUCUAAGAAUUUUCUGUUUUAUGUGGAAAAAAUAAUAGAUGUUCUGGAUUUUCAUGUUGUGGAGAGUUGGUGAUCAUAUGCAACUUUUGAAAAAUUCUGAUUGAAUGAAAUACAUAUGAUAAUUCUUGUAUUAAUAGAAUUAUGAUUACACCUGAACUAUAAGAAGAUUUUAUUUUGAAAAUACAAUCGAAGUUUAGAGACCUAAAAUCUAAAAAUAUGUGUUUUUGCUAACCCCAAAAACUAAAAUAUUGUCAUAGAUUUUGAUAAUGUUUUUAAAAGUAAGAAUCCUUCCACAUAUCUGUUUGGAAACAAUAAGAAUAGAAGGUGGGAGAUGCUUUUGAAAUUUAAACAAUAAAAUAAAUUAACAGAAGCACAGUUAUAAUUUCAUGUUUAUGGUGUAAUUUUAUGUGAAAGAUUUUGAAUUUUUGGCAUUUUAUUUAUAAUCAUUAUAAAGUGUUUUGUCAUUUGCAUCAUUUUCAUUACAAUUUUUGCAAUAUUUUAUUUUCAGCAAUCUUUAAUGUAAUUGUGCUAAAAUGUGUGUUUUCAUUGGUCAAGUGACCUAUGUAUGUGCUGAUUGCUGGUAUGAACCAGUUAUUAAAAUAUCAAAAUACUUCGUUUUUUGUUUGAAUCUCUUUUAAUUCAUCCUGAUGUGCAAAUGUU